UCGGGCGGGCGAGAAGACGAAGAAUCCCCAGGAGAUGAUCACGACGGUGAUGCUGUACACAGUCAUCAUGUAGAAGAUGCAGGACAUGAUCAUGAUGCCGGCGGAGCAGACGACGCUGGACCAUCGAUGGGCUGGGUGCAGGACCCUCAUAUUCAAGAGCUGCUUCUCAAGCAGACGGAUAACGCAAGAGCUGCCGCCCAAGAGAAAGCCAAGAUGGAUCAACUUGAGUUAGACGCGGUUACUCCAUUGUAUGAAGGAUGCAGGCCCGAGGAUACCUGCCUGAAAGUAACGCUCAUGGCUCUGGAGAUGAAGGUAAAACACAAAAUGACUGACGCAUGCUUCGACGAGAACAUGUCAUUCUGGCACGAACGUCUUCCCAAGGGGAACAAGUGCCCGACCAAUUUGGAGGAGGCGAAGAAAAUCGUGUGUCCUCUGGAUUUACCGCACAUGAAAUACCAUGUGUGCAUGAACAAUUGCAUCAUUUAUCGGGACGAGCACGCGGAGUCUACCAUAUGUCCGGUGUGCGGCGUCACUCGAUACAAGAAGAGGAAGAAAGCUCCUCGAAAAGUGGUGUGGUACUUUCCGAUCACUCCUCGUCUGCAGCGGUAU
rnacentral:rRNA from 1 species